AUUCCCAGGCUGAAAUUCCAACCAACUGACAUUACUAUCUUCCACCAGCAGAGGGAGCCACCCUGGCCCUGCAUCCCAGUGCUCUUCUGGCAUUCCAGAUAUUCUCAGUUUCCAUCGCACGCCACUUCCCUCAGCCUGUAGAACUUCCGGCAGCAACUGCAAUUAGGGGUAGUCCAGUGCUAAAUUGUCGCAGCCUUGAAAAUAUUCUGCUUCGUUAUUUCGGGCACUCCACAGAUUCUGUUGCGAAGGCAGCCAUCUUUAGUUCGUCUUUCCUAGAGAGCGUUGAGAAGAUUCUGCUCCAUUUUUUCUGAUUAUGGAUUCUGUUCAGAAGGAAGCCGAAUUUUAAGUCAUCGUUCUAGGAUAGCCUUGGAAAGAUGCUGCCCCAUUUUCUCCAUGUCUCCGUGAAUGCUCUUGAGAAGACAGCCAUUGUUUAAAUCAUCAUUCCCAG
rnacentral:lncRNA from 1 species